rnacentral:rRNA from 1 species
CGGCAACAGCUCAAAUUUGAAAUCUGGCCUCUUUUGGGGUCCGAGUUGUAAUUUGUAGAGGAUGCUUUUGGUGCGGUACCUUUCGAGUUCCCUGGAACGGGACGCCUUAGAGGGUGAGAGCCCCGUACGAUUGGAUACCAAGCCUUUGUAUAGCUCCUUCGAC